AUUAAAAUAUAUUUUCAAUAACUACACCACAACAAAUUUACAAUUAUACUCCUAAUUCAAUAAAAACUAAAAAUAAAAAAUAUGAAAUACAAUAUUGUGGUAUAGUUAUCAUCCCAAUAUCCCUCCUCCUUUUUCUCAUCUUUUUCCCCCUUCCUGGGUUUUUAGAAAAAAACACAAAAUUACUAGGAUUCUUGGGCUUUUUCAAGAUAUUGUGUUUUUCCAUCCAGAAACUCCAGAAUUCAGAAUCCAAACCUGAAUGCAUCUUUUUACCUAUCAUUUUCUCCAUCGUGAAGGAAAGUUCUAUCAGCUAAUAUCCAUCCCAAGAACCCCCAACUCUCUGAAAAUCAAAAGCCACAAGUGAGUUAAAUUAUUAAGAAGCGCUGAGAAAAAGGAUUUGUACCUUCCAUUGUAAGAAAAGAUAUUCUAAAUAUAUAGAAAGACAAAUGGAAAAGGAAAAAGUAAAACUUAAUUAGUCCAUGUACCAAAAGAUCAGUCUCCCGCCCCCCAAAUAUAUAUAAUUUUUUUUAACUACACUUGUGUUUGAUUCCAAAACAACAUCACAAUUUAUUUGUGCUGAAUUGAGCCAAAGAAAUAGAGAAACCCACAAAAUAAAUUUCACUGAAGAUUUACCAAAUAAUGAGGCGGAGAUGACUCCCCCAAUCCUAUGUCCCAUUUCCCUUCUCAUAUCCUAGUCGAAUCAUAAUCUUCAACAGUCAGCCAUAUGAAAAAGUUGCCAAUACUUGAUGUCAAAUUAGUGCCCUCAGGCUACAUUUGUAUUAUUCAAGAAGCAAUUAGAACAGUUUCUGCAACUUGCUGCAUCAGAAUGCCGACCAUUGGCUCGUAGACUUGCUAUGGAUUAAACACCACAUAUUUUUCUUCCUCGGGUCGAGCUCCUCGUACCCAAACUCUCUGCUAAUGGCGAUUUUCUUUCAUAUGACCUUCAGAAAAAAGGUAAUGUAAGUUGAUAUGAUUAUGGUGGCACGAUAAAUUGUUUUAUAUAAUAAAUAUAUUUAAAACCCAUUUAUGUAAUUUUACUUAUGACUAAAUAAGUAAAUAAAAAAAUGUGGUGUAACUACUAAAUUUUGUAGUGGUAAUAUAAUUACCCCUUUUUCUUUUGGAGCAUGUAAUGGGCAUGAUUUUAUGUAGGGACAAAAAAAAUUGACAUAUAUGUGUUUAAUACCAACGUUUUCAACUAAUACAUAGCCUCCAUUACAACUAAUCCCGUUCUCCAUCAAACAUAUGAAAUUUUUUCAAUCAAGUGGAAGAAAUCAAGAAAAGUAUCAAAAAUUGAAAAUCUUCAAAGUUUAGACCCUUGGAUUUCUUGAAAUUUAAUGUUCCUAAAACUAGUUUUAUAUGAUGUAUAAUUAUGUUGGAACUUAAAUGGUCAAGUGAUUUAUGGAGAAAAUUUGUUGAAGUGUGGUGAAUUUUUGAGAAUUUUUGAGAAGAUGUUGAAAUUGCCUUUGUGAAUGUGUGUGUGUGUGUGUGUGUUUGUUGUUAUUAUCACAAUGAAAAGGCGUUGCAAUGAUGAAAUAAAUGCAAAGAUCAAAUACAUGUUUGUUUAACCAAAUCACCUUCCUAGUGGCUACAGACAUAACCCAGUAUUUCGCGACUACCCAUAUCAAUGUUCUCUCCUUUGAAGUAGGUUUUUCUUGGCAUUCCAAAAAACUUACACACCUGUUCCAAUUUGGAAUUCUAGGUUCUUCAAUGAGAUAGUGGAAUAGGAGAAAGCUAAACCACACAUGUAUGAUGGGGUUGACACUGGGCCAUGGUGAGCAUGACUCGAG
rnacentral:lncRNA from 1 species